rnacentral:rRNA from 1 species
CGGGGGGAGCAAGCGUUGUUCGGAUUUACUGGGCGUAAAGGGCGCGUAGGCGGCCACCGCAAGUCAAUUGUGAAAUCUCCGGGCUUAACUCGGAAAGGUCAACUGAUACUGCGGGGCUAGAGUGCGGAAGGGGCAACUGGAAUUCUCGGUGUAGCGGUGAAAUGCGUAGAUAUCGAGAGGAACACCUGCGGCGAAGGCGGGUUGCUGGGCCGACACUGACGCUGAUGCGCGAAAGCUAGGGGAGCGAACGGGAUUAGAUACCCCGGUAGUCCUAGCCCUAAACGAUGAAUGCUUGGUGUCUGGGGUUACAAAGUCCUCGGGUGCCGUCGCUAACGCUUUAAGCAUUCCGCCUGGGGAGUACGGUCGCAAGACUG